rnacentral:ncRNA from 2 species
UUUUUCCACUAGGGGCGCGUAUGACGCUGAGAUAAAGAUUUUUCUUUGGUCCCUUUGAACCUGAUUAGGUUAGUACCUACGUAGGAAAGUGGAGCAUUUCUUAU